rnacentral:tRNA from 1 species
GUUAUUUUGGCAGAUUAGUGCAAUAGAUUUAGAAUCUUUUUAUGUAAUUUUAAAAUUACAAAUAAUA